UAGGGAAUCUUCGGCAAUGGGGGGAACCCUGACCGAGCAACGCCGCGUGAGUGAAGAAGGUUUUCGGAUCGUAAAGCUCUGUUGUUAAGGAAGAACGAGUGUGAGAAUGGAAAGUUCAUGCUGUGACGGUACUUAACCAGAAAGGGACGGCUAACUACGUGCCAGCAGCCGCGGUAAUACGUAGGUCCCGAGCGUUGUCCGGAUUUAUUGGGCGUAAAGCGAGCGCAGGCGGUUAGAAAAGUCUGAAGUGAAAGGCAGUGGCUCAACCAUUGUAGGGUUUGGGAGCUGUUUGACUUGAGUGCAGGAGGGGGGGGGGGAAUUCCAUGUGUGGCGGUGAAAUGCGUAGGUGUAUGGAGGGACACCGGUGGCGAGAGCGGCUCUCUGGUCUGUAACUGACGCUGAGGCUCGAAAGCGUGGGGGGCGAACAGG
rnacentral:rRNA from 1 species